rnacentral:rRNA from 1 species
UACGGGGGGAGCAAGCGUUGUUCGGAUUUACUGGGCGUAAAGGGCGCGUAGGCGGCCACGACAAGUCACUUGUGAAAUCUCCGGACUUAACCCGGAACGGUCAAGUGAUACUGUCGGGCUAGAGUGCAGAAGGGGCAACUGGAAUUUACGGUGUAGCGGUGAAAUGCGUAGAUAUCGUAAGGAAGACCAGUGGCGAAGGCGGGUCUCUGGACAGUUCCUGACGCUGAGGCACGAAGGUCAGGGGAGCAAACGGG